GCCAUGCCGCGUGGGUGAAGAAGGCCUUCGGGUUGUAAAGCCCUUUUGUUGGGAAAGAAAAGCAGUCGGUUAAUACCCGAUUGUUCUGACGGUACCCAAAGAAUAAGCACCGGCUAACUUCGUGCCAGCAGCCGCGGUAAUACGAAGGGUGCAAGCGUUACUCGGAAUUACUGGGCGUAAAGCGUGCGUAGGUGGUUGUUUAAGUCCGUUGUGAAAGCCCUGGGCUCAACCUGGGAAUUGCAGUGGAUACUGGGCAACUAAAGGGUGGUAAAGGAUGGCGGAAUUCCCGGUGUAGCAAUGAAAUGCGUAGAGAUGGGGAGGAACAUCUGUGGCGAAGGCGGCCAUCUGGACCAACACUGACACUGAGGCACGAUGGCGUGGGGAGCAAACAGGAUUACAUACCCUGGUAGUCCACGCCCUAAACGAUGCGAACUGGAUGUUGGGUGCAACUUGGCACGCAGUAUCGAAGCUAACGCGUUAAGUUCGCCGCCUGGGGAGUACGGUCGCAAGACUGAAACUCAAAGGAAUUGACGGGGGCCCGCACAAGCGGUGGAGUAUGUGGUUUAAUUCGAUGCAACGCGAAGAACCUUACCUGGUCUUGACAUCCACGGAACU
rnacentral:rRNA from 1 species